GGGUGGAAGGAAAGAGCGCCGAGAGAAGACAGGAUGCUUGGGAAGACAGCUGAAAACGGCGGGAUGGGACAGGGAGAUCCGGAGAGCAACGAUCCUGAAUCCUUCCCGACACACCAGCUGGCUCUUCUGCAGGCAGCUCCCCCGCUGCCCCGGGGGGCCACCCAGGCCGCACGUGGCCCCAGCGCACGCACAGGUGGGUCUCGUCUUGUCACGCCGUGCAGAUCUGGCAUGGGAGGGGUCCCUUUCACUGUGAUACAUCAGGUGGAGCCUCCUGCAGGAACCUCCCCAUGGCAAGUCUUCAGUGCAAGCCUGGACCGCCUGGCACCCACAGAGACGAUUGUCUUUUGGCCUGGAGCAGCCAGGACAUCUCCUGUCACCGCUGGGGACAGCUUGAGAUGUCCACGCGUGACACAAACCCACACCAAGGUGGCUUGCACCACUCCUGUUUGUAUUUACGCUCUUUUUUUUUUUUAAGGGCAACGUGGGCGGUUUUUUUCUCUUCUUGUUGGGACACUAUCAUGAUUUUUUCUUCCAAACAAUACAAGAAAUAAAUAGAACACUUGUCUUAAAUGCAAAUGCAACUGAAAUGCAAAUUUAACAAAAACAUAUGAUUGUCUGGUAAACGGCAGCAGGGACAGCAGGAUUCAUGGGGGGGACGGGGGUAUUUGGCACAUAAAAAAUCGCCCCACUCCCACACGACACACAACCUUAUUACACGGUUUUGGUCCUUCACCAGAUACUUAUAUUAACAUUAUUUCUUCACAAUAAGAAUGUCUAAUGCCAAAAAUACUGUUAAGGAGGAAAUAAAAUAAGAAAAGAAAUGAAUUAGAAAAAAUUACAAGUUAUAUACAGAUUAAGGUAAAUUCCAUCAGGGAAAAAAUUAUUAUUUGAAAUUGGCCCCUAUGGGAAUAAUUUAAAGCCCAUCCGAGUGGGGAAGAAGUUGCAUCCCAAGAGAGGGAGGCGGCCGGGCCCCGGGGGUUGUGCUGUCUCUGCUGCUUGCGGCAGGUUCCCCCGACGCCCUUCUGUUCUCAAGCUGUGUCUCACCAAGAGCGCACAGGAAGAGCGACGUGGUGACUGUGUCGUCCAUCCGGAGUCUCAGGCACAGGUACGGCUUGGUGGCCCGGAGCCAUCCGCUGGGAUCGCUCCCCAGGGCAGCCACGUGGAGGACACCGGAGAGGCUGGGGUCAGGUGGGAGUUGGGAGACCCAGGACAUGGCCAAGGCCCUGCCUUCAGAAGACGGCGGUGGGUUCCGGCGUGGGGUGGCCAAGGCAGGGACAGAGGAGGGAAGGAAGGUGGGUGCCCGGCCACAUCUCUGCAUGGUGGACUCAAGCCAUGGGCCCUCGACUUCCCCGUACAAUUGAGGGGUCUUAGGUGGGGGCCUAUGGAUUCCUCUGAAGGCCACGUGGCGGCCCUGGCACCAAUUCCAUGUCACAUGAUGGCAGGCAUGCUCCCCAUCCCAGCCUCGGGCAGGCUUGCAGCCCAGGGCACCCUGUCUAAGACUUCCUCAGCAGUCUGCACGGCUCGCGGGUGUGGUCCCAUGCCUCUUGUUCUGCCUCGGGGCACCCAGCGUCACCUUGGUGUAUACAAAUAGGGACAGAGAUAGAAAAUUUCUCCAUUAUCUACAGUAUAAAGAACACGCCCAGGCACAGUGCGGGUUCCCAGGCAGACUCGGGUUUGCAAACGAGCUCAAAUUUCAAAGCAAUGCAAAAUUACUUUUAAAAAACAAUUUGCAAGUCAUUUUUUGAUUUUUAAAAAAUACUGUCUAUUUUUAAAACCACAUGCUUAAAUAGACUCUGUAGUCAAUACGAUUACCAAAAGGGUUAUUCUUGUCAUUUCAUUAUAAAAAUCAUUUGACUGAUCUCUCUCUUUUGAGCACACCCGUCUAUCCACUCCCUUCUGCGACCCCAUGCAGGCACCCAGCAGUGGCCACCAGCUUCUGUCUCAGCGGAGCGUCCACCUGUCCACAGGUGGAUUCUGUGUCUCAGCGGAGCGUCCACCUGUCCACGGUGUCCACGGGUUGAUUCUGUGUCUCAGCGGAGCGUCCACCUGCCCACUGGCUGAUUCUGCGAGGCAGCUCCGUUGGCUGUCUCUGGACGGCCGCCUGCAGGACCAUCACUGAACAGUGUUCUCAAGACCAAUCGUUGGAGAUUGUGAGAUUCUACGGCUGCUUUAGGGACUUUCGGGGUCUGAGUUUCCACUGGAAAAGUCGGAAUGAAACAUGGUGGGUGGGGAGGAUGCUGAGGAGUGGCCACACGCAGGGACGGGGUCCUCCGCGGCCCCGUCAGCCUCUGUCCUCCGCGGCUGGUGCCCUCACUCUGGCCGCCGGCCCCCGGCCGCCCAGCCCGUCAGAGGUGGUUGAUGGGGUGAAAUGCUCCAGACUCCGACGUGGCUCCAGUGAUGUUCAACCAAGCGUCCAAAGAGCCCUGGGAGGGGGUGUGGAGAGGAGUGUCUUCGGAAAGGGACAGCAUCAUUGCAUAUGCCUGGCGGGGAGGGGAUGACACACACACAGGACAGGCAGGUGAGCAUGUGGGCAGGGCGGGCCAUCCCCGACAGGCAGGUGAGCGCGUGCGCAGGGCGGGCCAUCCCAGACAGGCAGCGCAUGGGCAGGGCGGGCUGUUUCACACAGGCAGGUGAGCGUGCGGGCAGGACAGACCGUCCCGGGACGGCAGGGCCAAGCCUCGUCUGUUCCCAGCCUCCCGCAGCCCUGGCCUGGCUCAACCUCGCCCUGGUCCACAGUGGGAAGAGGGAGCAAAAAGGACUAAGAGACCCAGAUUCUCUCCGCAGCCUGGAAGAGGAAGACAUGAGCAGCCGUGACAGUGGGAGGGAGGAAGGCCACCCGCUGCUCAGAGUGAUGCCAGGACACUGGGGUGCCAGUGCGGGGCCUCCUGUGCACACCAGUUCCCUUGGCUGCUUUGGGGUCCUCCCCCUCAAAGCCUCCUCUCCUUCCCACCCCUUCCCCCCAAGUUUUCUCCACUUGGUGAUCAGCAGAAACUACAGACACGUGUCUGGUCUAGGAGGGCCCUGGGGGUCAACAAGAGCCACCCCUGCCAGGGGAUGCCUGUUUUGGUGACCAUGGGGACACUAAAGAGCUGCCUCUGGGACAGGGACGUGCAGCAUUUCUGGGCCGAUGGGAUUCUUAGGAAGUGCAGCUCCAGCCGGGAAGCAGCGACCGCCCGGCUGGACAGCUCUUCCCGUGGGAAAAAUCCGGACUGCAGGCCACUGGGGCCCAGCUCAGAGAGGGAGUGAGACGAAGGCGGCUGGGCGGGCCAGAAACCUGCUCACAGACCUUUCCCACUGAGGACCACAGGAAGCUGCUCUGCGGAGGUCCAGCCCCUUCCCAAAAGUCGGCAUCGGCUCCAAAGCUAACAGACCGCCUUCAUGGUCCUCAGCACACCUGCACCAAUGACCGGGGAGAGGGAGGGCCUGCUGUUAGCAGCCUGGCCUUGGCCGCCUCUCUGAUGCCGCAAGGCCUGCUCCGGGCCUGCAUGCACGCCACUGCAUCUCUGCCAGCCACAUGCACAGGGAGACAGACACACGGACACACAGACGCCUGGACGGGAAGCCACACGGAUGCAGGAGAGUGACGGACAGAGGUCAGGGCGGGGGUCAUCGUCAUCCUCCUCCUCCACGUCCUCCUGCUUCUCGCUGGCUAGGCCUGGACACUGGGAGCUGCCGUCCACGUCCUGCAUCUCCGGCCUGAAAUGACACAGGAGGAGAUUGGCCAAGUUCAGGCGUCUCUCUCCUUGCCAUGGACCCCCAAAGGCUGGUGACUCGGCUCUGCCCCCACUGCCUCCCCCAACGACCCUCAGCCCCCUUCCUGAGGGAGCUCCCACCGGUCCCCGGGCCCAGCCACUGAGUCUGCAGAGUGAGAGGCACGGAGGCCUUGGGGCGGUCCCAGGAGAGGAGGACGAGUGCUCAGGGUGGUGGGGGCGGGGCAAGGCCCAGCGGCAGGCGGCUGUUGUGGCCGUGAGGGCACCAGGGCCAGGCGGUGUUGGGGAGGAAGAGGUGGGCAGUCCUGUGGGGAAGCUGGUCCUGCACUGGUGCGGGGACUGCGCACUGCACGAGAGGCACCCUCAGGGCAGACUUCGGGGGGAAGGAUUUCAGGCUGACAACUUGAGGACGUGAGCACUGGCCCGAGAGCCGGGAGCCCCGGAGGGCUCUCUGGGAUCUGGAGAGUGAGGGCCCAAAGCCUGUUGUCAGCAGUCUGACAGCACCAGGACAAGCUUGCUUCAGAGCCUGAGGGGACUCUCCUGCAGCCCAGGGCUCUCCUGACUUCCCCCAGGGUCACUGCAGCCUGGCAGGACCCCUCCACUCUGGUUCCUCAGUAUUAAAAAAAGAACAAAGUGUG